rnacentral:rRNA from 1 species
CACGGGGGGAGCAAGCGUUGCUCGGAAUCACUGGGCGUAAAGGGUGCGUAGGCGGGUCUUUAAGUCAGUGGUAAAAUCUCCGGGCUUAACCCGGAAACUGCCAUUGAUACUAUCUGUCUUGAAUACCGUGGAGGUGAGCGGAAUAUGUCAUGUAGCGGUGAAAUGCUUAGAUAUGACAUAGAACACCAAUUGCGAAGGCAGCUCACUACGCGAAUAUUGACACUGAGGCACGAAAGCGUGGGGAUCAAACAGG